ACCAUAGUACGCUUUGGAAACUGUUUAACUUGAGUGCAGAAGGGGAGAGUGGAAUUCCAUGUGUAGCGGUGAAAUGCGUAGAUAUAUGGAGGAACACCGGUGGCGAAAGCGGCUCUCUGNUCUGUAACUGACGCUGAGGCUCGAAAGCGUGGGGAGCGAACAGGAUUAGAUACCCUGGUAGUCCACGCCGUAAACGAUGAGUGCUAGGUGUUAGGCCCUUUCCGGGGCUUAGUGCCGCAGCUAACGCAUUAAGCACUCCGCCUGGGGAGUACGACCGCAAGGUUGAAACUCAAAGGAAUUGACGGGGGCCCGCACAAGCGGUGGAGCAUGUGGUUUAAUUCGAAGCAACGCGAAGAACCUUACCAGGUCUUGACAUCCCGAUGCCCGCUCUAGAGAUAGAGUUUUACUUCGGUACAUCGGUGACAGGUGGUGCAUGGUUGUCGUCAGCUCGUGUCGUGAGAUGUUGGGUUAAGUCCCGCAACGAGCGCAACCCUUAUUGUUAGUUGCCAUCAUUCAGUUGGGCACUCUAGCGAGACUGCCGGUAAUAAACCGGAGGAAGGUGGGGAUGACGUCAAAUCAUCAUGCCCCUUAUGACCUGGGCUACACACGUGCUACAAUGGCUGGUACAACGAGUCGCAAGUCGGUGACGGCAAGCUAAUCUCUUAAAGCCAGUCUCAGUUCGGAUUGUAGGCUGCAACUCGCCUACAUGAAGUCGGAAUCGCUAGUAAUCGCGGAUCAGCACGCCGCGGUGAAUACGUUCCCGGGCCUUGUACACACCGCCCGUCACACCACGAGAGUUUGUAACACCCGAAGU
rnacentral:rRNA from 1 species